CAGUUGUUACCCUCCACGGCUAAAUAAAGGACGAAAUCAGUUUCAGUAAUGUACUGAUGUACAUGGACAUUAGAGAGUCAUUUCAAAGACAAAAACUCAGCAAAAGAGGGAGAGAGAGGAACAGAGAGGGAGAUGGAGAAUGAGGACAGAACAGAGAUGGAACAAGAGCAGUGUUUCAGUGUAAAGAUGGCUGCAACAAGCACAAAGCGGCGUGCAGGUGAGAGAGAUCUGGUGGUAGACGAUUAACUUGUUCCAUUUUGUUUUACAGCACAGUGUUCAGUUCACUUUGAUUCAACUGUUUAUCCAUCCAAGCACGGCAAUUCUUUUAAAGGAGAAAUGAAAACAUUAUUCUUUUCUUUUUAUGCAUGAUUUUGGAGUAAUGGUUAUUAGUAGUUGGAUCAAUAGUUUAUUUUUAGUUUUUUUUAGUUUUUUUGGUUAUUCGUGCAUGUAUUAGGCAACAUUAUAAUAAAACACAGACUAUGUUUUCUUGGCUAUGCAGAGAUAAUUGUAUAUUUAUAUAUGAAGAAAGGCCUAUUUAACUGCAGGCACGCCUUAAAGCUUUUAAUUUCCAAAUUCAGACAAAAUUGAGGUUGCAGUAUUUGUCCCUAAAAAUCCCAGAAAUAUGGUGUCCAACCAGAUAUUUACAGAACUGAAUGGGGUAUACCAUGCAUCUUUUUCUCCCAACAAUGUCCCUGAGCUAUCCCGGGAAAUCCUAAGAUGCUCACAG
ensembl:lncRNA